rnacentral:rRNA from 1 species
AAUAGAUACCCGGGUAGUCCACGCCGUAAACGAUGAGUGCUAAGUGUUAGAGGGUUUCCGCCCUUUAGUGCUGCAGCUAACGCAUUAAGCACUCCGCCUGGGGAGUACGGCCGCAAGGCUGAAACUCAAAGGAAUUGACGGGGGCCCGCACAAGCGGUGGAGCAUGUGGUUUAAUUCGAAGCAACGCGAAGAACCUUACCAGGUCUUGACAUCCUCUGCCAACCCUAGAGAUAGGGCGUUCCCCUUCGGGGGACAGAGUGACAGGUGGUGCAUGGUUGUCGUCAGCUCGUGUCGUGAGAUGUUGGGUUAAGUCCCGCAACGAGCGCAACCCUUGAUCUUAGUUGCCAGCAUUCAGUUGGGCACUCUAAGGUGACUGCCGGUGACAAACCGGAGGAAGGUGGGGAUGACGUCAAAUCAUCAUGCCCCUUAUGACCUGGGCUACACACGUGCUACAAUGGAUGGUACAAAGAGCUGCGAACCCGGCGGAGGGUAAGCGAAUCUCAUAAAGCGCGCCCUAGUUCGGAUUGCAGG